UACAGAGGGUGCGAGCGUUGUCCGGAAUCACUGGGCGUAAAGGGCGCGUAGGUGGUGGCUUAAGCGUGCGGUGAAAGCUCGGGGCUCAACUCCGAGUCGGCCGUGCGAACUGGGCUCACUGGAGCAUAGUAGAGGCAGGUGGAAUUCCGGGUGUAGCGGUGGAAUGCGUAGAGAUCCGGAGGAACACCAAAGGCGAAGGCAGUGUCCUGGGGAGUACCUGACGCUCAGGUGCGAAAGCCAGGGGAGCGGAACGGG
rnacentral:rRNA from 1 species